rnacentral:sRNA from 2 species
UGUGCAGGUGUCUAGGGUUCCGCCGUCGAAACGAUGGGUCAGGUUCAAGAGAUACCGCCGAUGGGGCUAAUUCCCCAUUGGUACACGGCCGGACAAAAUCUCAGGAGAG